UACGGAGGGUGCAAGCGUUAUCCGGAUUCACUGGGUUUAAAGGGUGCGUAGGCGGGUAUAUAAGUCAGUGGUGAAAGCUCCGGGCUUAACUUGGAAACUGCCAUUGAUACUGUAUAUCUUGAAUGUCGUAGAGGUUAGCGGAAUGUUGCAUGUAGCGGUGAAAUGCUUAGAUAUGUUACAGAACACCAGUUGCGAAGGCAGCUAACUAUGCGAUAAUUGACGCUGAGGCACGAAAGCGUGGGGAGCAAACAGG
rnacentral:rRNA from 1 species